UCAGUCGAUCCUACGGGGAGGCAGCAGUGGGGGAAUAGUUGCACAAUGGGCGCAAGCCUGAUGCAGCCAUGCCGCGUGUGUGAAGAAGGACCUUCGGGUUGUAAAGCACUUUCAGUCGUGAGGAAGGUAGUGUAGUUAAUAGCUGCAUUAUUUGACGUUAGCGACAGAAGAAGCACCGGCUAACUCCGUGCCAGCAGCCGCGGUAAUACGGAGGGUGCGAGCGUUAAUCGGAAUUACUGGGCGUAAAGCGCAUGCAGGUGGUUUGUUAAGUCAGAUGUGAAAGCCCGGGGCUCAACCUCGGAAUUGCAUUUGAAACUGGCAGACUAGAGUACUGUAGAGGGGGGUAGGAAUUUCAGGUGUAGCGGUGAAAUGCGUAGAGAUCUGAAGGAAUACCGGUGGCGAAGGCGGCCCCCUGGACAGAUACUGACACUCAGAUGCGAAAGCGUGGGGAGCAAACAGGAUUAGAUACCCUGGUAG
rnacentral:rRNA from 1 species